GGACCCCUCACCCUAUUUCCUAUCACAAUAUUAAAGGUAAAUAAAUAAUUAAACUGUACUUGUGACUUUAUAGAUGUAUAAUUGAUUAAGGUUGCCAAUGGAGCCCGAGUCUGAAACAGUGUUGGUCUGUUGUUGUUUGAUCUAAUUUUCAGUAUUAAAUCCAGUAUGAUGUUUGAUGUAUUUAUCUUAUGGUUUCGUAUGCAUGAAUCAUUGUUUCUUUUAUUAUGGUUUGAAUUAUGGUGAAUCCGAUGUUGUGUUGUUUUGUUUGGUGUUCAUUAUUGGUUUACGUGUUUGUGUAUGAUUGGAUAAUUGAGACCAAGAAAAAUGGAAAAAAGGUUAUGUGAAUUGAUAAAUGGAUAAUGUGGACAGCCUGACUAGAUAUCCUAGGA
rnacentral:lncRNA from 1 species